rnacentral:rRNA from 1 species
AUUGAACGCUGGCGGCAUGCCUUACACAUGCAAGUCGAACGGUAACGGGCCUUCGGGUGCCGACGAGUGGCGAACGGGUGAGUAAUACAUCGGAACGUGCCCGAUCGUGGGGGAUAACGAGGCGAAAGCUUUGCUAAUACCGCAUACGAUCUACGGAUGAAAGCAGGGGACCGCAAGGCCUUGCGCGGACGGAGCGGCCGAUGGCAGAUUAGGUAGUUGGUGGGAUAAAAGCUUACCAAGCCGGCGAUCUGUAGCUGGUCUGAGAGGGUGAUCAGCCACACUGGGAGUGAGACACGGCCCAGACUCCUACGGGAGGCAACAGUGGGGAAUUUUGGACAAUGGGCGCAAGCCUGAUCCAGCCAUGCCGCGUGCAGGAUGAAGGCCUUCGGGUUGUAAACUGCUUUUGUACGGAACGAAAAGCCUUCUUUUAAUACAGGAGGGUCAUGACGGUACCGGAAGAAUAAGCACCGGCUAACUACGUG